rnacentral:rRNA from 1 species
CCUACGGGAGGCAGCAGUGAGGAAUAUUGGUCAAUGGGCGGGAGCCUGAACCAGCCAAGCCGCGUGAGGGAAGAAGGUACAGCGUAUUGUAAACCUCUUUUGUCAGGGAACAAAGGCGGGGACUAGUCCCCGGAUGAGGGUACCUGAAGAAAAAGCAUCGGCUAACUCCGUGCCAGCAGCCGCGGUAAUACGGAGGAUGCGAGCGUUAUCCGGAUUUAUUGGGUUUAAGGGGUGCGCAGGCGGCCUGUUAAGUCAGCGGUAAAAGCCUGGGGCUCAACCCCGGCGAGCCGUUGAAACUGGCGGGCUGGAGUUGGAGAGAAGUGCGCGGAAUGCGCGGUGUAGCGGUGAAAUGCUUAGAUAUCGCGCAGAACCCCGAUUGCGAAGGCAGCGUACCGGCUCCACACUGACGCUGAGGCACGAAAGCGUGGGUAUCGAACAGGAUUAGAUACCCUUGUAGUC